rnacentral:misc_RNA from 1 species
GUGCUGGGCCAACGGAGGAGAUGGUCGAGGUAAGAAAAUGUUGAAUUGAAGUCUGUAUUUGGUGGAGUAAAGAAUAAUGGCUUCGUUUUGUGUGCGUGUGUGUGUCAAUGGACCUACAUUGUUGGCUGGAUUACAGAGUUUUGGUCUUGUAGACCAAGUAUUGGACUGUUGAAUUUGGUUUUUCUCAAAUAAAAUAGUCAAUUGGUAAAAUUCAGGUUUUACUUCUGUAGGGCAAAUUUUGAGCUAUAAAUUGUGUUAAAGAUCAGCAUUGUUGAUUGAAGUUUAUUGGGC